rnacentral:rRNA from 1 species
CCAGACUCCUACGGGAGGCAGCAGUGGGGAAUAUUGGGCAAUGGGCGCAAGCCUGACCCAGCAACGCCGCAUGAAGGAAGAAGGCUUUCGGGUUGUAAACUUCUUUUGUCAGGGACGAAGCAAGUGACGGUACUGACGAAUAAGCCACGGCUAACUACGUGCCAGCAGCCGCGGUAAUACGUAGGGGGCAAGCGUUAUCCGGAUUUACUGGGUGUAAAGGGCGUGUAGGCGGGACUGCAAGUCAGAUGUGAAAACCACGGGCUCAACCUGUGGCCUGCAUUUGAAACUGUAGUUCUUGAGUACUGGAGAGGCAGACGGAAUUCCUAGUGUAGCGGUGAGAUGCGUAGAUAUUAGGAGGAACACCAGUGGCGAAGGCGGUCUGCUGGACAGCAACUGACGCUGAGUCGCGAAAGCGUGGGGAGCACACAGGAUUAGAUACCCCAGUA